GGAUGCGAUCAUACCAGCACUAAAGCACCGGAUAACAUCAGAACUCCGAAGUUAAGCGUGCUUGGGCGAGAGUAGUACUAGGAUGGGUGACCUGCUAGGAAGUCCUCGUGUUGCAUUCCC
rnacentral:rRNA from 1 species